UUGAAGAGUUUGAUCAUGGCUCAGAUUGAACGCUGGCGGCAGGCCUAACACAUGCAAGUCGAGCGGUAGCACAGAGAGCUUGCUCUCGGGUGACGAGCGGCGGACGGGUGAGUAAUGUCUGGGAAACUGCCUGAUGGAGGGGGAUAACUACUGGAAACGGUAGCUAAUACCGCAUAAUGUCGCAAGACCAAAGUGGGGGACCUUCGGGCCUCAUGCCAUCAGAUGUGCCCAGAUGGGAUUAGCUUGUAGGUGGGGUAACGGCUCACCUAGGCGACGAUCCCUAGCUGGUCUGAGAGGAUGACCAGCCACACUGGAACUGAGACACGGUCCAGACUCCUACGGGAGGCAGCAGUGGGGAAUAUUGCACAAUGGGCGCAAGCCUGAUGCAGCCAUGCCGCGUGUGUGAAGAAGGCCUUCGGGUUGUAAAGCACUUUCAGCGGGGAGGAAGGCGGUGAGGUUAAUAACCUCAUCGAUUGACGUUACCCGCAGAAGAAGCACCGGCUAACUCCGUGCCAGCAGCCGCGGUAAUACGGAGGGUGCAAGCGUUAAUCGGAAUUACUGGGCGUAAAGCGCACGCAGGCGGUCUGUCAAGUCGGAUGUGAAAUCCCCGGGCUCAACCUGGGAACUGCAUUCGAAACUGGCAGGCUAGAGUCUUGUAGAGGGGGGUAGAAUUCCAGGUGUAGCGGUGAAAUGCGUAGAGAUCUGGAGGAAUACCGGUGGCGAAGGCGGCCCCCUGGACAAAGACUGACGCUCAGGUGCGAAAGCGUGGGGAGCAAACAGGAUUAGAUACCCUGGUAGUCCACGCCGUAAACGAUGUCGAUUUGGAGGUUGUGCCCUUGAGGCGUGGCUUCCGGAGCUAACGCGUUAAAUCGACCGCCUGGGGAGUACGGCCGCAAGGUUAAAACUCAAAUGAAUUGACGGGGGCCCGCACAAGCGGUGGAGCAUGUGGUUUAAUUCGAUGCAACGCGAAGAACCUUACCUGGUCUUGACAUCCACAGAACUUAGCAGAGAUGCUUUGGUGCCUUCGGGAACUGUGAGACAGGUGCUGCAUGGCUGUCGUCAGCUCGUGUUGUGAAAUGUUGGGUUAAGUCCCGCAACGAGCGCAACCCUUAUCCUUUGUUGCCAGCGGUCCGGCCGGGAACUCAAAGGAGACUGCCAGUGAUAAACUGGAGGAAGGUGGGGAUGACGUCAAGUCAUCAUGGCCCUUACGACCGGGCUACACGUGCUACAAUGGCAUAUACAAAGAGAAGCGACCUCGCGAGAGCAAGCGGACCUCAUAAAGUAUGUCGUAGUCCGGAUUGAGUCUGCAACUCGACUCCAUGAAGUCGGAAUCGCUAGUAAUCGUAGAUCAGAAUGCUACGGUGAAUACGUUCCCGGGCCUUGUACACACCGCCCGUCACACCAUGGGAGUGGGUUGCAAAAGAAGUAGGUAGCUUAACCUUCGGGAGGGCGCUUACCACUUUGUGAUUCAUGACUGGGGUGAAGUCGUAACAAGGUAACCGUAGGGGAACCUGCGGUUGGAUCACCUCCUU
rnacentral:rRNA from 1 species